rnacentral:sRNA from 1 species
CAUACCUUAAAAAAAAAGACAGGGUCUACUUUAAAGGUUUAUAAACACUAGACACCCUCUCCUAGGAUGUCUUCCUUGAAUAUAGCUCAUUCCAUGUUCACACAGCAAACAUGUACUGUAAGAAACCACUCUCACACGUAUGUCAUUGUACCCUGCGGUAAUAGCAUCAGAUGGAGGGGCAUGGAACACAGAGGAAGCUCUGGGCUCUGGCUAGACCCACAGACUACAACCAGGAGAAGGGGUGAGAGACUGAAGAAGACAGAAGACCUCGCACUGCUUCUGUGGAGCCUCAUCUUGGUUACCACUCCCUGGCCUACAAUUGUGUGAUCAUAGUCACAUGUCCCAGGUGAUAUCCCAUCCCCAGGACCCAAGUGGACGCUGGCUACACAUGGCAGGUCUGAGAUUCCAGCCGUAGAAGACAGGGUCUCUGGGGUAGGUGGUAUUAAAUCCAGCUCUGGAUUUAACCAAUGGACCCUGCCUCAAUGAAUGAUGUAGAAAGCUUCCUGAUUAUCAAGCUCAGGCUUGAUAGGGGGAAGCUAUAUAUUGUGAUGCUUGUAAUCUUAGUCUUGGGGAGAUAGGAAGAUUUUUUUAGGGUUCAUUAGCUUAACCUGUGAGACUCGAGUCUCAGUAAGAGUCCCUAUCUUAGAAACAGGAGGAUGAUACUGAACUGCUUAUACUACAGGCUGACUUCUGGCCUCCACAGACAUGUGCAUACGCACGUGUGCACACAUGUAUAGGUGCCCCUGAAAAAACAUGAACAUACACACAUGCAUGGCCGCAGUGAAAGAGGGAGAAAGGACUUCCUCCUCAUCAGCGUUGUCAAGCACAGGCAACACUUGAAUCCUGAGCGCCAGGGAGGGCUACAACUGUUUUGUCCCAAGCUGUUUCUUCAUUAUUUCUCCACCUCCUUACAGGGGCACAGAUUACAGGCCAAGCUGUGGAUAAAGUGAACCCUGGCUUUACCAGAACGGGGACAAAGACAUGAAAGCUGUUAUUGUGCUAAUCCUAGCACCGUUCAACUGUGCCAAGCUUGCAAGGAGGGCACAUGAGGCCAGCACAGACUGAGGUAAGUCCCAAGAGACAGGCAGCAGACAGGGAGGAGAUGGAGACGGGGAAAGUUGUGUAAAGGAGGGGGUGGGUGCCUAUGGUGGGACAGACAUGAUUUCCCCAAUGCCCGGAAGGUAGUAACCCGAGUGGUUGUGGUGGAGAGGGCUGCAGAAGAGGGUGGGAAUUCUCUGGGUCUUGAAAGCCUUUCAGUGAGUUGAAUCUUCACCUGGGAGAGAAGAGAGGCCACCAAUGACUUGGAUUCUGUAUCUGGCCCAGGCUCAGGGUUAGUCAGAAGUCUGUUGAAUGGAAAUCUGUCUCCUCUGUAUCUGGGUGCCCCAUAAUUUGAGAAGCCCUGCCCUGAAUUCUGAAAUCUUCAGAUCGAGCAACCACAUUGCUGUCUGAUUUAGGUAGAGAAGAAUUCUUCUUGCUAGAGCCUCCUUUUGUCUGGCCCGGGGGAUCCUGGCUCCACUGUAGCUGUUGGCAGGUUUCAGUUCUUGCCACCAACAAGGAGGGACAGGAAGAGAGGUCCUUGAUGACCGACCUAGCUGGGUGGAACCUUGGAGAGCUCCCAUCUUGUCUCCUCUGUAGAUGAGGGAAUCACGGGCUACACAGGCUUCAUUAGGGUAAGUCCUUGGAAUUGAACCCAGUUGUGGUAUGAUGGCCAGGUGGUAUGAUCGCCUUUUCCUCACUCCCUCCUCAUGUACUCUGUGGACUUCUGAGAAGUUCAAGAGGCUACAGCCAUGACAUGAGGAGAGGAGAGGAAGCAGCUGACCUUCAGAGGCUCUAGUGAUACAGCUCUCUGUACCUCAGGGUCUUAGUGAUAGAUCCUGACAGUACCAGAUCAGGUCACCAGCCUAGGACCUCCCCCUUCCCUGCCCAUCUUCUCCACAGGGACCCCUUGUCCCAUCCUCAGGAAGUUUCUGGGAACCCAUGACUAGUUUCUCUGUGGACACAGCUUCCCCUGACAAGACAUACAUCUGGUAGUGACUCACACACUGGAUUUCUGCCCAAGGCCGUACAUCUUGAGUGGGGAGAACAUUCUCUUGAACUGACAACCUGCCCACCCUGCGGUGACAAUGGAGGCUGCCUUUGUCAGCCAACACUGAUGUCAUUCAAAUGGCACUUGGACCUCCUUGCCUGGGUUGUCCUAAGAUUCCAGUGUCCCUCACAUACCAGAUUCUUCCUCAAAAUUUCUCUGUCCCAGAGGGCUAGCCCCUCUCUUGUCCCCCUCCCCCUCCCUAGGUCAUCAUUUCUGCUCCAACACCCUCCCUAGGCCUCUCCAGCCCUGGUUCAGCUGCUUGAUUUUGAAAUACCAUUCAUGAUUUGCACCUCAGUCCUGUUAUAGGCAGUGCAGCAGUCCUGUCCCCAAGGGUGGCAGACUCAGAGGAGGAGACCAUUUGUACUAAUCACAGCAAACACCACAGAUAGCAAUGCUGGAUGCCAAGUGUGCCCACCACCAGGUCCUCACACUUACAGGCUUGUAUCACUAUUAACUUCUGGGCAAAGUCAUCUCCCCAGUAAGAAUUUCCUAAAUCCUAACUUCCUCCCCUAGACCCUUGUCUUACUAUCCAUUUACUUUUCCUGCAUCAUGUAUCAUUUUCCCAUACUUGUUCGUUGCCUAAACAGUGGCUUGCUGCUUGUCUGUCAUUCGAGGAACAAUCGGUGCCUGAGAACGGAAGCUCUGGAAAGGAAGCAAUGGAAGAGCGAGGAGACAACUUACAUGCAGAACGGGAGAAAGUCUUUGCCAGCUCUAUAUCCAACAGGGCAUUAAUAUCUAAGGUCUGUCUAGGACUUUUCCAUCUCCAAAAAUUAAAAACUAAGAACACACCAAUCAUUCAGGCAAUAAGUGGGCUGUUGAACUGAAUGGGCAGUUCUCGAAAGAAGAAAUACGAAUAGCUAAUAAAUACUCGAGAAAACAAAAAUCA